rnacentral:lncRNA from 12 species
UCCCUUCCCUUCCCUUCCCUUCCCUUCCCUUCCCUUCCCUUCCCUUCCCUUCCCUUCCCUUCCCUUCCCUUCCCUUCCCGGAAACUUCCCUUCCCUUCCCGGAAACUUCCCUUCCCGGAAACUUCCCUUCCCUUCCCGGAAACUUCCCUUCCCGGAAACCUUCCCUUCCCUUCCCUUCCCUUCCCUUCCCUUCCCGAAAACUUCCCUUCCCGAAAACUUCCCUUCCCGAAAACUUCCCUUCCCUUCCCGAAAACUUCCCUUCCCUUUCCUUUUUUUCCCUUUUUCUUCUUUUUUUCCAUUUUUUUCUUUUUUUCUUUUUUUCUUUACAUUAAUCAUAAACUUGAUCUCAGUUCUUCAAUAUCUCUCUGUGCUCUGACAACUAUAUCAAGUACCUUCUGAGUGUCUAACUUUUUAUUUCUUAGCAAUUUCA